rnacentral:rRNA from 1 species
UCUACGGGAGGCAGCAGUAGGGAAUUUUCGGCAAUGGGGGCAACCCUGACCGAGCAACGCCGCGUGAGUGAUGAAGGUUUUCGGAUUGUAAAGCUCUGUUGUAAGGGAAGAACGAUACUGUGAGAAACAGUAAGUGACGGUACCUUACCAGAAAGCCACGGCUAACUACGUGCCAGCAGCCGCGGUAAUA